rnacentral:misc_RNA from 1 species
AAUCAUUUGCUGUCGCUGUUCCACGUGCUUCAUCAAACCUCCCACGCCCACGCCCUUCUUUCGCUCCACUUGCUUUCUGAUCGAUUUCGACCUCGGUUGUUUUUUCUUGCUUGCCCCCCACCUCCUCCACCCUUUUCAGCGCAUCUCAUGCCGCAUUUGCAAUCCGCCAAGGGGUCGGCCGCGAAGGUCUACUCCACCCCUUCCCUCUUCAAGGACUACAACAAGCUCACGAAGGACUUGCUCGCGAAGGACUUCCCCACUGCGAAUAAGUGGGUCCUGGAGUGCAAGUACAAGGGCCCCAAGGACACCUUCUUCAUCAACCCCAAGGCUAGCUCCGAUGGCAAAAUUUCGGCUGAAAUCGAGUACGUCGCGGCGUGUAACGGCGGCCUUAAGGUCACCGUGACCCCUGAAAUCAUGCGUGAGAUCAAGGCCACGGCCCACUACACGAUCCAGGGUCACAAGAUGGAGGUGGCUCUUCAGCGCCUCCAGGACAAGUACCACUACGAGAUCAGUCACGAGACGUGCGUGGCUCUCUCGAAGCGCGCGAGCAUCAACGAGAAGCUUACGCCGACUCACGUGGAGCUGGGUAUGGGCAUCGACGUGGCACCAAACUGCCAGGUCGGCUGCGGCGCCACAUACGACAUUGGUGCCAACGACUGCAACUGGAACAUCGGCUGCCGUUAUGCGGGGAGGGGCUGCGAGAUGGCGAUUCGCACGAACCGCCUGCAAACUUACCAUACAAGCGCCAGCGCUCCGUGCUCCUUCAUGUUUAACGGCAACAGGUGCACGGUGCGCGCCGCCGUCGAGGUGGUGUGCGGGCGCGGUCGUGGCGACAAGGGUGUCGCGGUCACCGCGGGGAUGGAGGCCACAUGUCCGGUGCACCCGGCCAACACAAUAAAAGCUCGCGUGGACCGGGACAUGAAGUGGGUGGUCGCCUACAUCGCGAAGAUGGCGGACAACUGGACUGCAUGCCUGUCGUUGGACGAGAAUAUGAGGGUUGGCGUGCAGAUGACGCACUCUUAGGCGCUAAAGGGCAUGCACGCAUGGCAUUAAAGAAAGUGGGCAAUAUCUACGCACAAGGAAGGGAGGGGAAGAGACAGGAUGAUGAGUGGCACAAGGAGAUGGAAAGAUGGAGGUGGACGGUCCGAGAAGACUCGAAUGGUGAAUGGCGGUGAUGCGGUUGUGGGCGACAAGGAGAACUGGGCUGAGCGAGAGACGCAGUACCGGGAGUCGAGGAGGAAUAAAGAAAAAAAUCGACAAGCAAAGCAGAGUGGCCGAGCAACGGGGCGGCAUGUGAAGGUGCUCGCCGUGACUCUGGCGCCCUCUGUCUCCGCCUCGCGCGCGCACGCUGCCGGUCGGCUUUUUCCUUUGCCUCUACCGUUUCUGGAGGAUGUCGGCAGUGGCGCAGCUGUGCUGGGGCCCUGUGUGGCUCUCCUUCCCCCGUGUGAUGCGCACGUUGUGCUUGGUAGGCCGUGCGCGUACACGUGGCUUGUACACAUCUCGCGCCCUCUCGCCGUCUGCGCGCAUCGCCACAGAACGCCGAAAACAGUCCGGCCGUAGGGCCGCAUGCCGUAAAAGGUAAGCGAUGAAGAGAGCCCGAAUCUUUCACCGCGCACUCUCACUUCAUCGCGCGACUUUUUGCCGCCACAGCUUCAGGUUUUUGUGCGCGUGUGUUGCUAGCCCACACCACAGGCGUAUCCACGCAGUGGCUGACGCGCAGGCGCGGGGGUGACGGAUCGUGGACCGGGUCCGGCGAGAGCGCGCGGUAGGGGGCGAAGAUUUUACGCAGGAAGGUCGCGGGGGCGAUCAUGGCGCGCACACACACGUGCAGCGGCGCGGUGUGACUGUGAAGGUCCGAAGGCACGGCAGCGGAGGAGGAGGCAACACACAAGCGCCUUGCCUUCGUUACUUUAUCCCCUCAGUGUGCGUCCCGGUGCUUCAGCUCUCCCCUCAUAUACCCCACCCGCCAAGUUGUCCUUGCCACGCCCACGGCGAGGCAGAGACCGACCGACCGGUGGGACAGACGGACCCUUAUCUCUCAUCCUUCAUCCCAACACCCCCUGCUGUAAGACCACCGCCAUCACCACCUCCUCUUCUGCCCCCCCCCCCCCUCCCCACUUCCAUCCGGUGGGGUCGGAGAGAAAACGUCCUGAAGUGGCGCGAAGCGAAGAGUUAGAACGGAACUGAAAACAGAACCCCAUCCCACCCCUCUCCCCUCUCCCACCCUCCCAUCAGUGUCCUUGCGCAGCUGUGUUCCUUGUUUCCUCUUGUUUUUCUUUGCUUUCUGUUUGGACUUACACCCUUAUAGCGUACGUGUGCUCGCGCCCACUUCUUUCAUCAUCAUCGGCCUCCUCCCUCCCUCCCUCCCUCCCUCCUUCGGCCUCUUCGUUUUCCGUUGACUCGCUUCUCUUUUUUUUUUUUUGGAUGUAUGGCGUGCCACCGCCCUCGUUCGCACACGAAGACGCGAUGCUGGUCGACUCAGCUGCACCCCGUACAACAAACACCCAUGACACACCUGCACACGAGUCCGCAUAUCGGUCUGCGUGGGUGUCGGCGUGCCGGUAUGUACGUGUCCGCGCAAGUAAACGCAUCCCCUCCUCUCUCUGUGUCUGUGCGUGCGUGCGUGUGUGCUCACCUCACCAUCUUUCCCAUGCGCGUUUCGCUCCUCUUUUUUUCCUUUCAUGAAUCCUCUGACGUGCGUGCGUGCGCGCUCGCUCGGUCAGGUAUUACGAACAUUAGUGGACUUCGCUUCUUUUCUAGUCUCGCUAUGGCUGCUGAGGGAGGGGUGGCAUGCACACGCUAGCGAGCUCUUUCCCACCCUUUCGUAGUCUCUCUUCUCUGGCGUCCCCGUCUGUUUCUGUUAUGUGUGUGUGUGUGCCGACUUGCUACUCUCUCUCUCUCUCUCCACCCCAAACAGCUACAUGCACCUCUUCCUCUUCUCGUUGUUGUUGUUGCACGUCUCCUUCCUCUACCUGUGUCGUCUGUCGAAGCCUCUGUCUCUCACCCUGCCCGCCUUGCUCACGCAGACAGACUCACGCCGAGGCAAGUCGUGAGCCGGUGUAUGAAGAGCAGCAGCAGCAGCAUCGGGGGCAGGGAGUGUAUAUAUAUAUGUGCGUGUGUGGAGACGGACCAUGAGAGUGGCCACGCGCGCAACAGCGACGCGACGGGAACGGUCAGCAUCACCGCGUGUACAACAAGAGCCACUCCCACACACACACACGUAUAUAUAUAUAUAAAGGAAGCAUGCGGAGACCGCAACAACGAGCAUUCGAAAAGGAGAAGAGAGCAGGUGGUGGUGGUGGUGGUGGUGUGUGUGUGUGGGGUGGAGUGGGUGCAACUGCGGCUGUCCUUCCACCGCACCGCAACCGCCUCUUCCCUGUCGGGGACAAUGAGCGAGCGAACAGGCGGGGCAGCACGAGACAGGCAGUCAGAGAGGGGCGGGGGCGGUACAAAAAAUAAAUAAGAAACGAGUCAGACAAAGAAAAAAGUGAAAAGGAGAGAAAAAACAAAAAAAACGGUAUAUCACACGCACACACACACACACACACAGCCCUACCCUCCUCCUCUCCUCCUCCGCCCUCCCCUCCUCCGUCAUCAUGAAAAACCAAAAAAAAAUCAUUACCGACCAGUCGACAUGGGACACACAUGCACGUGCGUGUAUGUGUCUGCAUGUAUAAAGAGGCCUGUGUCGACGACUUCUUUUGGAACUCAGGGGCUGGAGUGGGGGCGGGGGUGGGUGGGGAGGAGGGACAGUGAUUAGUGGGGCACGCCCGCUCUCACAGGAGGGCACCUGCGUAGAGUCAAAGAGAGCAGACAUGGGCACACACGCGUGCACGCGCACACACCCCGCCCCCCUCCCUCUCCGGUUCUCCCCCCAGGGUGAUGCAAAAACAGGCAGUCUCCUCGCGCAUCGAACUUCAGUGGCGGGAUGGCGUUAGAGUAAGCGAACACGAAACACAGCACUCGAAGAAGGACGAAAG